GCUGAGGAUAACCGAGUGAACGGAUUUUCUUGUAAGGGUGGUUGCCCCUCUCGGUUGUGCCAAUGAUUUUCUUUAGCUACUAAACCAACAACCCUUGUUCAUGAAAUAUUCAGAGCCAGAAGCUAUGAAGCCACAUAUCUUAGUGUGUGCGCGUGUGUGUAUUUUUUUCCUUCUUUCAAGUUUAUCUUUUUCAUGAUGAAAUCAGUAUUUGGUUACUGAUGUAUCCCUCUAAGAAGAGAAAAGUUGGGAAUUUUCAGGUGAGAACCAAGAACUUUCCAGAAUGAAGAAGUCAGCCCAGAAAGAGAACUGAGGCUAACAGAGGGGAGGGAAUUUUCUUCUAAGGGUGGUCACCCCUCUCUGUUUGGCCCAAUGAUUUCUUUAGCAACUAAAUCAACAGCCCUUGUUCAUGAAAUACUCAGAAAGGUCACUUUGAUAAUGGAAAAACAAGCAUUAAUCUUCAUCUGUUUUCUGUCUGCAGCUUUAGCAUAAACUUGUGUCUGUGUGUGUGUCAUUUUGGCACGUAUCUUUUUCCCCUUUUUGAGUGAUAGAGGCAGUGAUGAUGUUUCAAUUUCUGGGCUGACAAAAUUGGGUAUUGGACAAUGCAACCCGUAUCUUGGCUUGGCAAAUCGACUGGCGAUAUUGCAGCCAUGGCGUGUUUGCCUUCUCUUUGCCUGAUCGAAAGGCAGAUCUGAGCCUCAAAUUUCUGGGAAUCGAACCCGGCUCCUCUUGUUCUUUGAAAUCUAUUAAUGUUUGGUCCAAAUUUUAGCCCAAGCUUCAGACCAAAAGAAUGUCAGAGAAGAUGGGUACUCUGGUAAGCCCAUGAUUUCAAAACCAAAAGCACUUUGCUUUCUCAUUGACCGUGGUUGAUAGAUAUAUAGAUAGAAUUUUUUUCUGAUUCCAUGCAAACCCAAACCAAUCUAUCGACUAUGCUCAAUCCCUGGAUACAUGAUUGGAAAUGCUAUUGGAAGGAAUUGAACCUUCGACCUUGUGGUUAAUAGCGACAUGCUCUAACCAACUGAGCUACACCAUGCAAACCCAAAGUGGAUGAGAAAAAGACAAAUAAAUGAAUGAAGGGGCUAUGAUGAAAUUCUUCCUAGAAAAUGAAAUGAAGCAUUCAGAUAAUUUGAGCCGUAGCUUGGCAGGGCGACCUUUUAGCGUCUAUGGUAACAUGCUAAAGGCUUGCAGCCAUCACGGUGCUGAAUCCAGCAUGCCAAUGAUUUCUUUGUUGCUUCAACCAACAGCUCCUUUUUGUAGGUUUUUGCUGUCUACAGUGGAUGGAAUUUCAACCCAGAAUAAAGAAUGAGGCCAACAGGGAGAAGGGAUUUCUUGGAGGGUGGUUGCCCUCUCUGCUUGGCCUAUGAUUUCUCCAUCUACCAAAUCAACAACCCUCUUCAGAAAAAAAAAAAACAGGCAAGUAUGUUUGGUGAUUCUGAUAGUCGAGAUACUAUCUUUUUGAGCUUAAGCCUUGAGGCAAUGUUUUUGGUCCAAAACAUCCCCAGACCUGAAGGUUGUGUUUGUUUGAUGAGAAUUUUUUAACAUGUCCAAAUGGCUCCUAGAACUAUGGAAAAGUUGCCAUUUCUCGAAAGAAGUAAUGAUGAUACUGCCAAUCCCUGCUGAAGUUCGGGGCAUGGAGACAGUCCGACCCGUAUCUUGGCAGGGCAAACAUGGAUGGUUUGGGAUUGAGGCCUUCUCUUUCACAUGCAACUGGCUGCUUGCAGCCAUGGCGUGUUGUUGUCUACUCUUUGCCCCAUUUUAUGCAGAUCUGAGCCUCAAUAUCCAACUAGUACCUCUGGAUUUUUUGGGUCUCGAACCCAGAAUCUCUCGUUUGGUGAAAAACAUUUGGGUUAUUCAAUUUUUCUUGAACACCUUGUUGCUGUUCUCCAUCAAAUUUUAGCUCAAAGAAUUGAGGUAAUUGGAGGGAAAAAAAAGGGAUCUUUUAGGGUGGUUGACCAUCUCCCACAUUCAUAUGGUUUCUAUUCUUUUUAAGUUCUCACAAACAGCUCUUUUUGUUUGUGUGUGUGUUUGUUAAUCAACCCCCAUACAUUAGGCACCAUAUUGAUUAUUUUUCUCUUGAUAUGGUGCACAAUUAUCGUACUAGUGUGGAGACCCAAAUCACCGCAUUGAACGCUGAUUUUCGUCACAGAAACCCAAAGGGAAGGUACUAGCCUGGAAUCGAACCCGGGUCUGUACUGCAGCAGGGUACUAUCUACCACUAGACCACUGGUACCAGGAAUAGAUCAUUUUAUCUCUGUUUUCUGCUACUAUUAUACUCUGUUCCUCAGAGGCUGCGUUGGCAAAGCAACAGCAGAACCAUAUAACAAUGAAAUGGAAAAGAAAAUGAUGGGGCUGUGAUGAUUGAUUGUUAUUGAGCGUAUGGAACCUGGCAUUGUAGUUUCAGGCCUGUAUCUUGGCGGGGCAACCCGUAUUAUAGGAUCUGCAGCCAUGGCAGUGUCAAAGAACUCGUUGCCUGAGAUAAUUACCUAUCUGAGCCUCAAGUCUUUUGAAAUGGCUGAAUAUAUUGAUGGCCUUUCAAACUUGCCGAAAGUUUUCAUUUAGAUGCAUGUUGCUGAAGUCGUCCAAACAGGCUCUUGUGGAAAAGUUUCCAUUUUUCAGAAGAGGCAAUGAUGAUAUUGCUAAUCUUGGCUGAAAUUUGAGGCAUGGAGAAAAUCUGACUCCAUAUCAUGGCAUGGAAAACCGGGAUGGUUUGUGAUUGGGGCUUCUCUUUUACAUGCAACCGGUUUCUUUUGCAGUCAUGUUGUUGUCGCCUUCUCUUUUCCCCAUUUUAGGCAGAUCUGAGCCUCAAUUUCCAAUUAGUCUUUAAAUAGGGGGCCCCAAAAUGGCUAUUUGUGUCGUCCCCCACUUUAUUUGCAUUGAGAAAAUUCGGCCGUAUCUUGGCGGGGCGACCUGGUAUGACAUCAUCUGCAAACCGGUGUCUGCAGCCAUGGCCUGUAUCACUUUCUCUUUGCAUAGAUCAAAGAACAGCAAAAUUUGAGCUCUGAAGUCACAGGACUACCAUUUGAUGGUCUUGAAUUGGAUGGCUGUUCUCUGGAACCUGAAUCCCAUUCGGGUUCUUCAGUUUUUCUUGAAUAACCCAGUUAAGGUGCUGUUCUCCAUCAAAUCUUUAGCUAAAAAGUGAGACAAUAGGAGAAAAAUGGGAUUUUUCACCAUCUCCAGCAUGCCAAUGCGUCUCUUCAGCUCUAACCAAGAGGCCUUUGUGUGUAUAUAUGUGUGUGUAUUAACUACACAAAAGUGGCGGUUCUGCCCAACAUGAAUACUGAGGCCAACAGAUAGACAAGGGAAUUCUUGGGAAUACGUCAACCCAAAGAACAACCCUCUUCAGAAGUAGUAGUACUGCUUUCUGAUUUCUCUUAACUUAAACCCAACAUCAUAUGUUUGAAAUUGUCCAAACGGGCUCUGUAUGGUAAAAUUACCAUUUUUCUGGAGGCAGUGAUGAUAUUGCUAAUCUGGGAUGAUAUUCGGGGCAUGGGACAAUCUGACCAGUAUCUUGGCAGGGCAAAUCCAGGUGGUUUGUGCUUAUCUUUCACAUGCAACCGGCUCUUUUGCAGCCAUGUCGUUGUCGGAUUCUCUUUACAACAGCAACAACAACAUACCCAGUGUAAUCCCAUAAGUGGGGUCUGGGAGGGUAGUGUGUAUGCAGACCUUUCCCCUACGUCGCAAGGUAGAGUGGUGUCAGAUUCUCUUUGUCCCAUCUUUUUGCAGAUCUGAGGCUCCAUUUCCAACUAGUCUUUCUGGACUUUCAAGACUCGAACCUAGGAGUACCUUGUUGUAUGGAAACCCAUGUCAUUUGUGGACUAUGCAUGUUGUUGCUGCUGCAUCUUCUUCUGUUUCUUUUGUUCUUGAUGGUGAUGGUUGUGUUAUCAACCAAAUAGCAGAAAAUUAAUGCAAGAAGAGGGAGAUUUUAUGGCUGUGAUGUUAUAAUGCUUUUAUUAUUAGCAAUUUGAAUUGGGUGUUGAGAUGAUAAGAACCGUAUCUUGGCAGGGUUACCAGGCGAGGUAGCAGCCAUGGCAGUUUCUGAUAAACUCAAUGCCUGAUUAAAAUUGAAAACUGAGCCUUGUCAUGUACAUGAUGUACAUGUAUAUUGUCUGUAUAUAGAACACACACACAAGUAAACAAAGUGUGGUCUCUCUAACAGCUUAAGCUUUUAGAUGAGAUGGUCACACACUUCAACACACACAAAAAGACACAUCAACAACAACAACAACAUACCCAGUGAAAUCACACAAAGUGGGGUCUGGGGAGGGUAGAGUGUACAUAGACCUUACCCCUACCUUGGGAGGUAGAGAGGCUGUUUCUGGUAGACCCUCGGCUUAAGGACAAAAUAGCAAGUUGAUCGACUCUGCAUGGAUCGAACCCAGAAUCUCUGGUUCUGUAGGCUAGCGCCUUAUCCAUUUUGCCACAGAGUCUUUGAUACUACAUGUCCAAAAUGGUCCCUUCUCGAGGCAGUGAUGGUCUUUAAAUCUAUCCUCCUAAGCUAGUAAUUGAGCAUAGAGUAUCGACCCGUAUCUUGGCGAGGCAUUGACCUGGUUGCCUGUGGUUUGAUUACAUGCAACUGGGGGUAUUGCAGCCAUGGCGUGGCCGGACUUUCUUUGCCCGAGCAUAAAACAGAUCUGAGCCUCAAUUGUCACUUAUAUAUUACUCUAUGGUGUUUGGUAUGGAGGAAAAUGUUUCAGUGAGGAAGAAUGAGGCAGCAGAGAGAUGGGAAUUUCUGUGAAGGUUAGUUGCCCCUCUCUGCUAUGUCCUUAAUUUCUCCAUUUGUGAAACCAACAACCCAGUUGAGAAAAACAAGAAAAGGAAAAUGAUAACCAUCCCAACAACACCCCUUGAGUAUUUACCUCUGUGAAAAAGGGGCUAUGCUCUUCCUGUCUUCUGCUUCUGCUGCUACCACUGCUAUCUAUGAUAAACAGCAGCCCUAAAAGUCGAUGCCUGGUGUCGUUUCUACGUUGAUCUUCGCAGAUCACCUGAAAAUGGGCUGUGAUGAUGAUUGCUUCCUUCUGGGCUAUCUAAUUUACUGCUUUGAGAAAAUCUGACCCAUAUCUUGGCUGGGUGACCCGGUAUGGUACCAUAUGCAAACCGGUGUCUGCAGCCAUGGCGUGUGUCGCUUUCUCUUUGCAUGUCCAUAUACAGAAAAAUCUGAGCCCUAUAAACUCUCUUAUAAAUCAGUGUGUUUGACCUCACAAAAAUGGAGGUUGAGCCCAAAUUGAGGAAAGAGGCCAACAGAGAAAAGAGAAUUCUUGGAAGGGUGGUUGCCCCCUCUGUUUGGCCUAUGAUUUCUCCAUCAAUAAAACCAACAAUCCUAUUGAGAAGUAUUACUAUUACUGUUUCUGAUUUCUCUGAGCUUAAACCAAAUAUUAUGGACAUCCGCAGCAGGUUACCUGUGCGGUCUCUUCUUCGAUUCAAAUGUGUUUCAAGUUUUUGGAAGACAUUAAGCUCUGAGCCUUACUUUAAGAUGAAGCAUCUCAAUCAUGCCAAGAAUAACCAAAUUCCCAAAAACUCUUGUUAGCCUAUGGUACCUUUCUACGGACGAGUUCAACUGGUUGAGGAUGUGCAAAAGCUUGGUUGGCCUUCAAAUGGUAAACCACGGAGUUUCAAGCUUUCUGUAUAAACAAUUUUGUUCUGAAUAAUACAGAACUAAAAUGUUCGAAAAAGUUCGCAGCAGAGUAGCACUUCACCAUCCAAACAUCUAUAUUUCAGCAUGGCUGAAUAAAGACCGGUAACUUGUAUAUUAAACAAAUUAUUCCAAGAUUUAUUGAUACCAUAGUCUUUCAUUACCCAUAACUUAAAAGUGUCCUUCCCUUUACGUAAGUAGAAUAACCACAAAGCAUUCCUGCCAAUACUGAAACGCCACUUUUAAAAUCAAGCACAAUCCUUCUGGCAACAGUAUCUCUCGGUACACCUCAUUUGAAAUACUAAAUGAAACCACAAAAUUAUUCACUGACAAACCAAGCCAAUGAAAUGCUCCAUGUACAAAUGCCAAAGUGUUCAUGUUAUACUACACAUGGUAAAUACUGGUAGGAUGUUUAUCAAUUUUUCUCCAGGAACCACUUUUCAGCACUAGAAUUUCACUGCGUGCUGUGUGCUCUCUCCAAAAUUACUUACUUGGGGAUUGGCUAAAUAUAUAGUGGGUUUAGCAAAAAUCCUCUCAGUUAAGCUGAGAAAGGAAGAAUGAGACGUCAGAGAGACGGGAUUUUCUGUGAAGGGUGGUUGCCCCUCUCUGCUAUGUCCAUGAUUUCUCCAUUCACAAAACCAACAACCCUCUAGGAAAAGAAAAACAACAAAAUGAUAAACCAUGAUACCACUGCUAACUAUGAUAAGUAGCAGCCUGGUGUCAUUUCUACGUUGAUCUUCGCAGAUCACCUGAAAAUGGGCUGUGAUGAUGAUUGCUUCUUUCUGGGCUAUCUAGUUUACUGCUUUGAGAAAAUCUUACCCGUAUCUUGGCUGGGCGACCCGGUAUGGCAUCGUCUGCAAACCGGUGUCUGCAGCCAUGGCGUGUCACUUUCUCUUUGCAAGAUCGUAUAUAGCAAAAUCUGAGCCCUAAAGAGGUCUUUUGCACAACAAUGAGAAUUUGCCCAGAAGGAAGAAUGAAGGCCAACAGAGAGAAAAAUGAUUUCUUGGAGGGUGGUUGAUCUCUCUGGUUGGCCUGUAAUUUCUCCAUUAAAAGAAAUUACUUUUUCCUUCACUAAUGUACCCUUGAUCGGCCACGGCAAGAGCAAAAGAACUUGGGAAUUGAGCGUUGUGCUAUAUAUAUUAGUGUCUUAGCAGAACCCUCACCAUAGUUUAGCCCAGAAAGUAAGAAUGAGACAUCAGCGAGAAAAUGGGAUUUCUGUAAAGGGUGGUUGCUCUCUGUCUGCUAUAUGUCCAUGAUUUCUUUCUCCAUUCAUAAAAGAAAGUCAACAGCUCUUUGAGAAAAAAGAAAAAGAAACCAUAUAUGCAUUUGGGCAUAGAUUCCAAAUAUUUUUUGCUUCUGCUACUACUGCAGCUGAUUUUCGCAAAUAUCCACUUUUUAAGGAAGUUAUUGCGUGGAUUCUAAAGAGUUGAGGGACAAAAAUUAAAUACAACCAUCAAAAUAGGGGCAUUUGUGCAAAUGACCCAUUUUUGAGAGUUUGGAACCUAAAUGACGUGAAAAAAAGGGCUCUGAUGAGGCUUGUUUCUGGGCUAAUAAUCUACUUUACUCGCUGCUUUUGAGAAGAUCCGACCCGUAUCUUGGCGUGGCGACCCGGUACGACAUCCAUGUGCAAACCGGUGUCUUGCAGCCAUGGCGUGUGUUGGUUUCUCUUCGCAUGUUCAUUUACAGAAAAUCUGAGAGAAAAUGACAAAAAUGAUCCUUUAUCUUUGAGGGUAGGUUCAGAAUAGUCUCUUAAGUAUGCUAGUUACCAUUUUGGUCCUUUAAGUUUUUCAAAAGUUUAACACUUUUAGUGUCCGUCAAAUAUUUAUCGAACUCUGUCGGUUAGAUUUGACGGAAACAGUGGGGAAAAAAAGACUUAAACUAUAAAUGUCUUCAAACAUAAGGGACCAUUUUGUCAAAAUCUGACAUGUAUCUUGGCGGGUCGACCCGGUAUGGCAACAUUUGCAACCCGGUGUCUGCAGCCAUGGCGUGUGUCGCUUUCUCUUUGUAUGUUCGUACACAAGAAAAAUGUGAGCCCUAAAAAUUUGUUCGUCUGGGAAUUCAUUCUUUACUCAUCAGAUGGUUGAGCUUGGCUAUAGCUUGGCAUGGCAUCUUUUUGGAGUCUUGUGAGAUAUGGGAGCUACUAGGUUUCUGUGUCUCACAAAGGCUUCUUAAUCUUGCAGCCAUAGUUGGGUUUAGCUUAUGUCUGAGAAAAAGUUAAUCUUUGUGCCCAAGGAAUGAGGCUUUUUAUGGAACUCGAGAAAGGUUGAGAUUUUCUAAGGGUGGUUAUUCUCUUUCUCUGAAGAUCAAUUUAGCCGAUGAAUUUUCCAGUACUUUUGUUACCAAAAGAAAGAUUAACUACCCUUUCAUCAACUAAUGUCAAUUAUGCUCUUGAUGAUGAUGAUGAUGAUUCCGUGGCUAUGGUAACCAUAAGGGAAAAUACAUAUUCAACCCCCCAAACUUUUUCAUGAAAUCCUGAUUCCUAAAUCCUGAACUUCAUAAUGAGGCUGUGAUGAUACUUUCUUGGAAGCUUGAAAAUCAGAUUUUUUAGCUGAUUAGCAUCUUGGCUAGGAGAAGGCAGCAGAAUUGGUGAGGUAGGUUUAUGUGCUUCUCACAAUGGCGUCUGCUUUUUGCAGCCUUGGUUAGGCAAAUCUGAGCCUUCUUUCUGUGUGAAGCGACAUGGUUAGCAGGUGAGUUUGUUUUUCUGCUCUUGUGCAAUUAUACAGAAGAGGCAGCAAUGAUGAUGUUUCACUUUCUAGAAUCGUUGAAUCUGGACAUUGAACAAUUUGACCUGUAUCUUGGCCUGGCAAAUCAGUGGAUGGUUGGCAUUUGAGAUUCUCUCUUUUGCACGCAACCAGUGAUAUUGCAGCCAUGGCGUGGUUGCCUGCUCAAGAUCAUAUUUGAGCCUCAAAUUUCUGGGAGUCGAACUCGGGUCCUCUUGUUCUUUGAAAUCUUUUAGAACUCAAGGAUACAGUGGUACGAGCCAAUAGAACUGAUCCUGCUCAAUUAAGGUCGUCAUUAAGUUUAACAGGUCUUUUCUCCGGUUCUUGCUGCUGUUGGACUAUUUUAUGAAUCAAGCAGCAAGAAGUCAUUGUAAGAACAGGGAGAAUUUAUUGCUGUGAUGGUAAUGCCUUUUUCUAUUUUGAGCAACUGAGUUAGCCGCUGAGAUGAUAAGAGCCGUAUCUUGGCGGGGUAACGUGGGAAGGUUGCAGCCAUGGCGGUUUCUGAUUAAACUCACUGCCUGAUUGUUAUGUGCAUGAUGUGCAUGUAUAUUAUCUAUGUACAUACCGACACACACACAUGCAUACCUAUCAUGAGAAAAUGUCAAAAAUGGUCCCUUAUCGAUCCUCCCGAGCCAGUAAUUGAGCAUAGAGAGUACCUGGCAUGUAUAUUGGCGGGGCAAUGACCCAGAUACAUGUGAUUGUUUCACGCAAUUGGGGAAUCUGCAGCCAAGGCGUGGCCGGACUUUCUUUGCCUGAGAAUAAAUACAGAUGAGAGCCUCAAUUGUAACUUACACAGUCAGACAUCUCUAUAACAACAUUUCACUGUAUUAUAUGUUCUCUAUGUCAGCAGUACGCUAUAUCAGCCAAAAUAUAUCAGGACAAACAAUGCUGCUAUAGUGAGGUUUGAUUGUAUCUUACUCUUGGUAUUUUUGGCAUGGAGGGAACUAUUUCAGUGAAGUAGUCAUUUCAACAAAUAAGACCUUCGACAUGAGGCCCGUAAUUUGGGAGGUCCAAAAGGAUCAGGGCUCUAUAAAUAUGAAGCAGAAGGUGAAACGAAAAUGGAAAAAUUUCAUUAGUUCAAGUCUGAGGCUGAUUCAGAGAGUUGCGGGGAGUUGUUUGAGUGGUUGCCCCCUGUCAUUCUUAGCAGCCAAUGAUCACUCAAAGUUUCCCAAUUUCAAACCACUCUCUAGCAAAAUAAGUUCAAUGAGGCAGUGAUGAUUUCAUUCUAUACUCAUCAGAUGGUUGAGCCUUGCUAUCUUGGUGUGGCAGCUUUUGGGGGGUUUUGUGAGAUAUUGGAGCUAUUUUGGUUUUUGCGUCUGACAAAGGCUCCUUAAGCUUGCAGCCAAGGCGGGGUGUAGCUUACGUCUGAGAGAAGGCGAAUCUGAGCCUUCCUAAAAUAUCUUUUAUAGUUCAAAUGAGACUUUUUAUGGAACUCGAGGAAGGUUGAGAUUUUUAUGGAAUUUCAGACUUUGUUUAAGAUCUGAUUUGGUCAGAUGUAAUAAGAUCUAUUAAGAGGUUGUAUCUUAAAAAAAAAAGAAGAAAAAACAAAUACAUUUAAUGGGCUGACGUCUGAACCAUUCAGAUUUAGACUCUAACUAAGUGCAAACAAAUGAGGCCUAAAUAUCUUUUAUUGUUUAAAAUGAAGUUUUUAUGGAACUCGAGGAAGGUUGAGAUUUUCUGAGGGUGGUUACUCUCUUUCUCUGAAGUUCCAUUUAGCCGAUGAAUUUUCCACUACUUUUGUUACAAAGAGAAAGAUUAACAACCCUUUCAUCAGCUAAUGUCAAUUAUGCUCUUGAUGAUGAUGAUAGCCAUGGUUAUGGUGGAAAAUACAUAUUCUUCCCACCUAAACUUUUCCGGUAAACCCGAAUCUUAAACCCUAAACUUUGUGAAUAAGGCUGUGAUGAUAUUCCCAAGUAAGAUUUAUAAUCAGAUUUUUGAGCUGAUUCGUAUCUUGACUAGGCAAAGGCAGGGGAAUUUGUGAGGUUGGUUCUUAUGUGCUCUCACACAAAAGACCUCUGCUUUAUGCAACCACGGUGGAUUAGACUUUUUCUGAUAGAUCAAAUCUGAGCCUCUUUUCUGUGUUAACUGUAUUUCUACAAUGGCUGGUCUGUCUCUUUCGUUCUUUACCUUUUUGUUUUUUGAUGAAAUCGUCCUUUACUUCUUUAUAUGAUCAUGUUGUAUAGUAUUGGUUUGAGUGGAGUCUAAAUGGAGUGACAUGAUCAGUGACGAUUUAUAAUGUUGAUCCCAGCUUGUUUGGGACUGAGACGUUAUUGUUAUGUUCUUUUUAUAUUCAUAUUCUUUCUGCUACUUUUGCAUUUAUAUCAGGAAGAAUCCAAGUUUCAUAAGAAAACCGUUAUGUGUUUAUCUACACAUUCUCCUGGAGUGAAAUUAUUAGCUACUGAUAUGAAACAAGACCAAAGGGAAUGGAAGUGAAUAUUGAGGAUUCAUAUACCUGUCCUUGACCAGUUUGAUACCAAAGCUAUUUGGCAAAUUUAUCUACACACUUUUCCAAACUUUCAUGCCUCAUUUCGAUAUUGAAAUCCCAAGUUUCAGAGGCAGUAAAGAUUAUGCAUAAUGAAAAGGAAAAGUGAAAAUAUUGUUGAUUCAUGGCCUGGCUUGGCAAGACCAAUCGGAAGGUCUUUCUUAUAAGGCAACCGAUGAUUGCAGCCACGACAUUGCUAUUUCCUUUGAUUAAAUAGGCGAAAAUCUGAGCCUCAGCCUCAACAUGGUUUGUUUACAUUUUUUUUUUUUUUUAAACAAGUCUUUCUAGAAACAAUUUAAACUAGAUUUUUUUGCGUGGUUCUUUGGUCUAUUAUUUUGAAUUCAGACUCUCUUCUAUUCUGUGUGGUUACUGGUUUGCUAAAGAUUGGAGAGAGUUAUGGUGUCUCCAAUUCCCCAAGAUCAUCUUUCUGCAGAGCCAGAUUCUAACAUCGGUUGGCCAUUUUUUUCUUUUUUUACUAAUUUCAUUUUCUAAUGCUAAUUAUUAUCCCAGUUGAAGCUGUAGUUUCUUGGAGCCCUACUCUUAACUUUCAAGACUAUUUUAACUCUUGGGACUUGAUACUAUGUUGAUACAAGUUUUAAGCUGGUGCUUAUUCGACGAGUACAUGCAGCAGUUCAAGAGACGCCUGAUAGCCCAACACGUUGAAAUGAAGAAAUCCGGUCAGUUCAAGAACUAAACAUAUCCAGCAGCUGAUUGAACUUAGCAUUCUAAAAUUCUUGAAAUUUUUUGCGGUACAGUAUGAGCAUAGCAUUGAUGUCCAGUUGGCUUGAAUUUGUAAACCUUUGCUAACACCGAGAGUUUGCCUUGAAAAUGUAUUUGCGAUUUGUAUAGGGGCAAGCACUUAGAUUUUAGAUACUUUUCAGUGAUGUUAGUUUCAUUUCUUAUUCCUGUUCAUUCAUUUUGUCUUUAUUAGGAAAGUGAAAGACACGAUGAACAAGAAGUUGGACUUGAAUUCAGUCCGUGAGCUGCUUGGAUGGUUAACAUGUUGUUUAAUAAUGUAUCGUAUUAUAUUGUAUUGUAUCGUUAGAU